UGAUAUUCUUGGCCAGUCCUCGAAGCACC
rnacentral:piRNA from 1 species